GAUGAAGAACGUAGCGAAAUGCGAUACUUGGUGUGAAUUGCAGAAUCCCGUGAACCAUCGAGUCUUUGAACGCAAGUUGCGCCCGAAGCCAUUAGGCCGAGGGCACGCCUGCCUGGGCGUCACACGUCGUUGCCCCCCCAUCUAAUCCUUCGGGAUUGCGGGGGGCGGAUGAUGGCCUCCCGUGCGCCUCGUCGCGCGGUUGGCAUAAAUGCCAAGUCCUCGGCGACGCACGCCACGACAAUCGGUGGUUGCGAAACCUCGGUUGCCCGUUGUGUGCGGUCGUCGCGCAUCGAGGGCUCGAAAAAAUUGCCGGGCUCCGGCUCGGCUUUCAACGCGACCCCAGGUCAGGCGGGGUUACCCGCUGAAUUUAAGCAUAUCAAUAAGCGGAGGA
rnacentral:misc_RNA from 1 species